UGGUGGAGUGAUUUGUCUGGUUAAUUCCGAUAACGAACGAGACCUUAACCUGCUAAAUAGUCACGCUAACCUUCGGGUUGGUGCUAUGACUUCUUAGAGGGACUAUCGAUGUUUAAUCGAUGGAAGUUUGAGGCAAUAACA
rnacentral:rRNA from 1 species